UACGGAGGGUGCAAGCGUUAAUCGGAAUCACUGGGCGUAAAGCGCACGUAGGCGGCACGUUAAGUCAGAUGUGAAACCCCUGGGCUCAACCUGGGAAUGGCAUUUGAUACUGGCGCGCUCGAGUCUGAGAGAGGGAGGUGGAAUUCCAGGUGUAGCGGUGAAAUGCGUAGAUAUCUGGAGGAACACCGGUGGCGAAGGCGGCCUCCUGGCUCAUGACUGACGCUGAGGUGCGAAAGCGUGGGGAGCAAACAGG
rnacentral:rRNA from 1 species